ensembl:snRNA U6 U6 spliceosomal RNA
GUGCUCGCUUCAGCAGCACACAUACUAAAAUUGGAACGAUACAGAGAAGAUUAGCAUAGCUCCUGCGCAAGGAUGACACGCAAAUUUGUGAAGCGUUCCAUAUUUUU